rnacentral:rRNA from 1 species
AUUGCACAAUGGAGGAAACUCUGAUGCAGCCUGCCGCGUGCAGGAUGAAUGCCCUAUGGGUUGUAAACUGCUUUUCUAGCAAGANGAAACCUUAGUACGUAGUACUAAGCUGACGGUAUUGUAGGAAUAAGCACCGGCUAACUCCGUGCCAGCAGCCGCGGUAAUAU